AUGUUUGUUAAUGAUUAAGUGUCAUUCACAAACUCUGAUUUAAAACAUCAAUUUAUGCUACGUACAUUUUCCUUAAAUCAUCAAAACAUCCAAAUUGAAUAAAAAAAACAACAACAAUGUAUUUAAGAUGAGACACAUUCAGCAUUUAUAAUUUUUUCUCUUUUUUUGUUUGACUUUGUUCAAAGUUUGCUACAGUAGCCUGUUAACAAUAGACCAAAGGUAUGAUGAUCAAUUAUAAAUGCAAUAUGGUUGAAAGCUUGACAAAAAUGUAGUUUGAAGGAGAAGGGACAGCUGAGUAACAAAGUCCUGGUACGCAGACGACGAUACUAUUACACUGACAAGAGUGUAAUGAUGAUGGAGACACAAGCCAGAGAACGGGGGGACCAAACACCAGGCCAGAAUUCUGCAUGAGUCAGAUCCAGUGGGUGCAGAUCAUCAUACAGAUGGUUCAAGUGUGGAUCCACCUGAUAUUCAAGAUUUUCUCUCCUGAGACCCUCAGCUGACCAUCAAGAAAGAACACACUCCAGGGGGCAUCCUUUUUCCAGACCCUCAUACAGAUGGUUGGAGUUUUGAUUCACCUAAAGUACCAUGCAAGAGCACUCAUUUUCACUCGUGAGACCAUGGUGUGACCUGCAAGGUCGAAUGGAGACUGUAAACAAGACAAUGUUGGAGUCACCUGCAUUCACUGGUCCAGUUGUUAGUCCAAUUACAGAUGGAGAUUAUAGAAGAGGAUGAUGUCUUUUCUCCAACAUCUUUCUAGACUGAUAAAAGAUCUAGACAGGCUCGAACAAAAGUUAACAGAGGGGCUUAUAUAGAGAAUGGUGAGCAGCUACACAUAAAAUAAGAACAUGGAGAAUCUGCCCAGAGGUGUUAACCAGCAAUGCAGCUAUACAACUAAAUUGAUGCAGGCGGAAACACAAGCGAGAAUGCAGCUGCAGAUGAAGAAUCCGUCAGUCUAUCACUGAAGGAGACGCAGAAAAUUCCAUCCAAGAUGUUCUUUGCCCGAGGAAGCAUUUGAUUAAUUUAAAGAUAUUGUGUUUCUUUGUAUGUUAUAGAAAAACGUUGCUUUUUUGCAUAC